rnacentral:rRNA from 1 species
UGGGACAUACCCUUUGGUUCGGAACAACUCAGGGAAACUUGAGCUAAUACCGGAUAAGCGCUUAGGCGGAAAGAUUUAUCGCCGAAGGAUUGGCCCGCGUCCGAUUAGCUAGUUGGUGAGGUAAUGGCUCACCAAGGCUACGAUCGGUAGCUGGCCUGAGAGGGCGACCGGCCACACUGGGACUGAGACACGGCCCAGACUCCUACGGGAGGCAG